ensembl:snRNA U1 U1 spliceosomal RNA
AUACUUAACCUGGCAGUGGAGAUAACCAUGAUCACAAAGGCGGUUUUCGCAGGGCGAGGCUUAUCCAUUGCACUCCGGAUGUGCUGACCCAUGCGAUUUCCCCAAAUGUGGGAGACGCAACUGCAUAAUUUGUGGUAGUGGGGGACAGCAUUCGCACUCUCCCCUG